UACGUAGGGACCAAGCGUUGUUCGGAUUUACUGGGCGUAAAGGGCGCGUAGGCGGCGUGGUAAGUCAGCUGUGAAAUCUCCGAGCUUAACUCGGAACGGUCAGCUGAUACUGCUGUGCUAGAGUACAGAAGGGGCAAUCGGAAUUCUUGGUGUAGCGGUGAAAUGCGCAGAUAUCAGGAGGAACACCGAUGGCGAAGGCAGGUCUCUGGGCCAUAACUGACGCUGAGAAGCGAAAGCAUGGGGAGCGAACAGG
rnacentral:rRNA from 1 species